rnacentral:rRNA from 1 species
ACGGAAGGCAGCAGUGGGGAAUAUUGGGCAAUGGGCGAAAGCCUGACCCAGCAACGCCGCGUGAAGGAAGAGGGUCUUCGGAUUGUAAACCUCUUUUAUGAGGGACGAAGGACGUGACGGUACCUCAUGAAUAAGCCACGGCUAACUACGUGCCAGCAGCCGCGGUAAUACGUAGGUGGCAAGCGUUAUCCGGAUUUACUGGGUGUAAAGGGCGCGUAGGCGGGGGUGCAAGUCAGAUGUGAAAUCUAUGGGCUCAACUCAUAAACUGCAUUUGAAACUGUAUCUCUUGAGUGCUGGAGAGGUAGAUGGAAUUCCUUGUGUAGCGGUGAAAUGCGUAGAUAUAAGGAAGAACACCAGUGGCGAAGUCGAUCUACUGGACAGUAACUGACGCUGAGGCGCGAGAGCGUGGGGAGCAAACAGGAUUAGAUACCCUGGUA